rnacentral:rRNA from 1 species
UACGUAGGCAGCAAGCGUUGUUCGGAGUUACUGGGCGUAAAGGGUGUGUAGGCGGUCUUCUAAGUUUGGUGUGAAAUCUCCCGGCUCAACUGGGAGGGUGCGCCGAAAACUGGGAGGCUAGAGUGCGGGAUGGGAGAGUGGAAUUCCUGGUGUAGCGGUGAAAUGCGUAGAUAUCAGGAGGAACACCUGUGGUGUAGACGGCUCUCUGGACCGCAACUGACGCUGAGGCGCGAAAGCUAGGGGAGCAAACAGG